rnacentral:rRNA from 1 species
UACGGAGGGUGCGAGCGUUGUCCGGAAUCACUGGGCGUAAAGGGCGCGUAGGUGGCGCGGUAAGCGUGUGGUGAAAGCUCGGGGCUCAACCCCGAGUCGGCCAUGCGAACUGCUGGGCUUGAGCACUGUAGAGGCAGGUGGAAUUCCGGGUGUAGCGGUGGAAUGCGUAGAGAUCCGGAAGAACACCGGUGGCGAAGGCGGCCUGCUGGGCAGUGGCUGACACUGAGGCGCGACAGCGUGGGGAGCAAAC